UACGUAGGGGGCAAGCGUUGUCCGGAUUUAUUGGGCGUAAAGAGCGUGUAGGCGGCCUGAAAGGUCAGCUGUGAAAGCUCGAGGCUCAACCUCGAGACGUCGGUUGAAACCAUCUGGCUAGAGUCCGGAAGAGGAGAGUGGAAUUCCCGGUGUAGUGGUGAAAUGCGCAGAUAUCGGGAAGAACACCCGUGGCGAAGGCGGCUCUCUGGGACGGUACUGACGCUGAGACGCGAAAGCGUGGGGAGCGAACAGG
rnacentral:rRNA from 1 species